rnacentral:rRNA from 1 species
AUGGCUCUGGCCGAACAGAAGCUGGCUUCGGUCGACCAGUUGGAAAAAGAGAACACUAGGUUGCAGACCGCUCUAACUGAUGCCAACAAGCUGACUGCCAGUUGGAAGAAGAAGAACCUCCUUUUGGGCGAGGAGAUGGAAGGCAUCGCCCGUAGGAGGGACGGCCUGGAGAGCUUCCUGAGGAGCCUCGCCAAGAGGCUGUACAUCAAACUUGAAGAAUUCUGUCAGAACUUCGAAGAGGAGACCGGGCGGAUCGAAAUGGGUCUUGACCCAAUCAAUUCUCCGGUGAAAGACGAUACUGCCAUGAACUUGCUCCGACUGGAAUCUCGAAUCGACGGCGCCGUGGAUUACCUGGCUCGACUGAAGGUUGCCGUGUCGCGGAUCGACUCGACACUUUGGCCAGAAUCCGCGCUCCAGGACGAUCUCGAGUCUCUUAUGGCUCGACUUGACAAAAUCACCGAUCGAGUGCAGGAGUGGAAGAAGUCCUCUGCCCGGUGCGGCGCUGACGUGGCUCUCUCCUUAGUCCGCGUUCACUGCAAGGAGGCGCCAGAAGAAAAACUGGCCGCCAUCCAAGUCGCCAAUGCCAAGAGGCACAGCUUCCAGGACUUCAUGGAGACCUUCAUUGCUGCUGCCACUCGCAUUGCGGAUGGAAUCGACCUGGAUGAGUUCAUCGCUCCUGCCAGCCCUCCUCUUGAGGAGUGA